UGACCUCGGAUCAGGUAGGAUUACCCGCUGAACUUAAGCAU
rnacentral:rRNA from 1 species